rnacentral:rRNA from 1 species
UGGGGAAUAUUGGACAAUGGGCGCAAGCCUGAUCCAGCCAUGCCGCGUGAGUGAUGAAGGCCCUAGGGUUGUAAAGCUCUUUCACCGGUGAAGAUAAUGACGGUAACCGGAGAAGAAGCCCCGGCUAACUUCGUGCCAGCAGCCGCGGUAAUACGAAGGGGGCUAGCGUUGUUCGGAAUUACUGGGCGUAAAGCGCACGUAGGCGGACAUUUAAGUCAGGGGUGAAAUCCCCGGGGCUCAACCCCGGAACUGCCUUUGAUACUGGGGUGUCUAGAGUUCGAGAGAGGUGAGUGGAAUUCCGAGUGUAGAGGUGAAAUUCGUAGAUAUUCGGAGGAACACCAGUGGCGAAGGCGGCUCACUGGCUCGAUACUGACGCUGAGGUGCGAAAGCGUGGGGAGCAAAACAGGAUUAGAUACCCUGGUAGUCCACGCCGUAAACGAUGGAAGCCAGCUGUCGGCAAGUUUACUUGUCGGUGGCGCAGCUAACGCAUUAAGCUUCCCGCCUGGGGAGUACGGUCGCAAGAUUAAAACUCAAAUGAAUUGACGGGGUCAUAGCUGUUUCCUG